GAAAAACGUCUGCAAAGAAAUCACACACCUAACAAAAAUGUGUUUACAAAUCCCAAAGAGUAAAUCAUCCGACAUUCUACCCACAAAAAGCCUCUUUCCUCCAUUUUACCAGUACAAUACAGAAAACACUUGUAGUCUGCAACAGUCUGAAUCAAAGAUUAAACUAUGCCCCAUCAGCCUUCAGUGUUAACUGUUAACUCUUAGGUUGGUGCUUCCCAAUUUUCAGUUUAAAAGAAUAUUUGAUUAACUAGAACACUUUGCUAUGUUGAGUGAGAAUUCUGGUUUCAAUCAGCAUUCCAGCUUUUGACACACAACCAGCUCAUGUCUUGGAGACAGGAGGUAAUGGACCUGGAGCGGAGAUGUUGCGGCCACUGGGUGUCUCUGUUCAUUUCGGUUAACAUCUCUGGUUGACGAGGAUGGGACGUGAAGCAGCUGUCUGAUCUCCUCCUGGGGGACAAGUGGACACUGCAUGCCGGCACAACCCAGAGCCCCUUGACUGCUCCUCUGCAUCUCCAAUGGCCUCAGAGGGACGAUCAAGCAAUCUUGGAAGGCCACCAGCUCUGCUAUAGCCCAUCGACAAGCAAUGACGGACUCUCUAGCUGAGGCAGCCCUCCAGAACCGCAGAGCCCUUGACACACGCAUAGCUGAAGCAGGUAGGAUUUGUGCCCUGUUAGGAGAAGACUGCUGUCACUUUUACGUAAAAGCCUCAGGCCAAGUUACCCAGGAUCUAGAAACACUUAGAAGGAACAUUAAAAUACUGGAAACAGCUGAACCAGACCCCUGGAACGGAUGGGAAUGUUAGGAGAUCUUUACAGUUGGCUUCCCGAGGGAAUAGGCUUGUCUUACGAUCAGGCCUCCAAGUUGUUAUGAUUCUUAUGAUCCUAGGACUCAGCAUUUGGCUCCUCUUUAAAUUUAUUUUUGCUCGUUUUAAGCAGUGUCUGGAUGCUACCCUGCCUCUGGCAACUCCCAUGAUGCUGGCUGGGGUCGCCACCUGCGUUCAGCCCAUGGAACCCAAGCAGCCGAGGGGGCACUUGGGUAUCGAGGGACCUGAAUACUCCCCGAAUUGAUCAAACGUGUCACCCUGGCAAACCUAUGAUCAAGAGGAGGAAAAUGACAAAGAGAUAAAAACAAGGCCAGAGCUGACAUGACGGUUACCAUGACCACCUCAAGGCCUAGCUAUGGGCAGAAAUAAAAAAGUACAUUUUAACCUUGACUGUCACGAGAUGGCCAGAGAACAACACAGUAGUCUUCCCCUGCAGUUAGGACAUUUAGAAAGCCCUGGGCCCAAGAGAAAGUGUGGCUGGAAGGGGCGACCAAUCAGAAUUGGACUCAGCCUUACCCUUGCAAACUCUGCACCUUCUGCCUUUAAAAAACCAGCCACCCCAAGACCCAAGUGGGGGGUCACCUAUCAACUUGUGGGUCAGGGUGUACUUCCUCAGUUUGCAACCCUUUUAAUAAAGCCUCUUUUGUUUUUAAAAUUUCAUUUUUGCCUCGUAAAGCUCUUCAUUUCAGUUAACAAACGUUAUAUAGAGAGACAACUCUACAAGUGAGAGACAAUCAACGAUAAGCAAAUAAAAGUUGAGCCACAAUUACAAGUAGUUCUAAAUUGCAGUGCGUGUCAAUUCCCCCUGUAAUAGACACACCAAGGAUUAGUCAGAGAUCUCUCAGAAGGUAAGCACACAGACAAGGAGAGGGAGAGAAAUUAGCAAGCACGAUUUAAAUUCCUAACAUUUCCAAUGGCAAAGACUAUUUUUAAAAACGGAGUCCCCAUGGUACUGGAGGAAUGUUUAGUGACAGAUAUGGAAAUGGCUUAGUUAAAUGGGCUCUUCUGUGGAUGAGAAAAUAAAAACGAGAGAUCCCAGAGAGCAACUUUAUUUCACAUUUUUAUAAAUCAUGUGGAAGAAGAGGGCACAGAAAUGUCUCCAUUUGCAGCUAACAAUCAUUCCUUCAGGUAAUUAAUUGCUAGCCUGAUGACAACUCUAGGGAGAUUUCAAAAUGCCACAUGACGGAGUGGAAAAGUGGUAGAUGACUGUUCUGAGAGGCAAAUAUCUUUACGGAAAAAUUAAAUGAUUCUUUAUAAAGUGAUCGGCUCUAAGCUCUCAAUGCUAAGUGGCUGUGGAAUCCUAUUACAGAAAAAACCAACAAGAUGAUAAACAUCACCAGGAAGGAUACUAUGAACCAUCAAGCACAAGACAAGUCCCCCCAUGUAAAUUUCAUCCGCUCCACCCCUAAAACAACAAUAAAAAUCACAGCACCCUACUCUGUCAUCCUAACCUCUGCAAACCCACGAUGCAUCAUCAUCAGCCGGAACACCUAAGCUCUGGCCAUCUCAUCUCAAGGAAGCUACUAAAGGGACAACUAAAAUGAGUGAAGCAAGGGAAAGACUUCUUUUAGAAGGCAAACUAACAAAACAUCUUCUCAGGCUGCAAAGACAUAUACCUGUAGUCCACAAGUAAGAUAAAGUGACCUCAGAAAUGUAAGAAACAACCCUGAAAGGUUAUAAGGGGUAAAUUCAGAACCCAAAAAAGUGCAACUUUGUAACAGGGGAGUUAAAAACCUUCUUGUUCCAAGUAAUGGUGCCAGGAACACGAUUAGGUACAGGAAGAAUUUAGAUAAAUCCACAUACAGUGGCUUUGGGGAAAUUAGGGUGGGUGUGUGGAACAGGACUAGUUUUUUCAGCUGACCCGGAGGACAACCAAGCACUACUCCACGACAUGAUCUGGGCUGCUAUCCCAGACAAGCCCGUGGAGCCCUUCCUGUGGGCUCCGAGCAGAACAGGGCAGAGUGGGGCUCAGUGCGGGCGCAGGCUGAUCCAAUAACAGGCAGGUUCCUGCCCGGGCUGCGCGGACAGACCCGUGGUCUUCCAUUCAAGUGCUGCCCACAGAAAAAGUGGGAGGACUUGCUCUCUCACCAUGCCCCUCCUCAAAACCUGCAUUCCCAGCAGGAGGGCUCACACCCUCUCUUGUCUUUAGCUCAGGCUGCUUCGAGAACCUGGAACACCCUUUCAUACCCUCACCUUCUCCCACCCACAACACCCACCCGGCCAAUCCCUAUUCAUUAGCUAACACCUCGAACAAGUCACACAAUUAUCAUUGCUUCUUUGUGGUGAGAACAAUUAAGAUCUAGUGUCUAAGCAACUUUGUAGUUUAUAAUACAGUAUUGUUGACUAUAUUCACUAUGCUGUGCAUUAGAUCUCCAGGACUUACUCAUCUACUAGUUGAAAAUUGGUACCUUUAAACAACAUCUCCCCAAUUCUCUCACCACACCCCCCCGCCCCUGGUAACCACCAUUCUACUCUCUGUUCUUAUGAGUUACAUGAGGGAUUUCAAAACCUUUUACUAACCUUACUAACAGAGAAACCCCUUCAAGAAAAUAAAUACUACCAACUCUGCUUAUCACCAUUUUUUGAGCAUAUAACAAUGAGUGGCUAUUUCUUCUGGAUUUAUUAAAUACCUACUGUGUGCCAGGCACCAGGCUGGGUGCUGGAAAUACAAAGAAUGAGAUUCAGCACCUGCCCUCUGAGAAGCACAUUUCCAGAGGAGGAGACAGACAGACUGACACAUAUAUGGUGACACGUGUGAUGAAGAAAAGGAAAUCAGAUUAAAGAACUGAGGAGUAGCAAAAUGUCCUAUUUUUGAAAUAAUUGUUCUAGAAGUAAUGAAUAAGGAUUUCUGGGUAGAGAUGUAUUUCAUUCCAUUCUUACUGUUAAAAGACAUAUUUUUUUUCAGUUAAGGUCAUUACAAUCAUGAGAACAGCUUAUUUUUUGUUCAGAUGGAACCUGGCCUCCCAAAGCUUUCUAUGUCUUACUCCCUGGAGCCUGGGAGUAUGUGACGUUACACAGCAAAGGGGCUUUGUCGAUGGACCGAAGGGUUUCCAGGUGGGCCCGACGUCAUCACACGGGCCCUUAAACGUGGAUGAGGAGGGCAAAAGAGCCAGAGAUGUGGUGGAAGAAGAGGCAGGAGAGAUUCAAAGCAUGACAGGGACUGCUGUCAUUGGCUUUGAAGAUGGAGGGGGCUACGAGACAGGAAAUGCGGGUGCUCCCAGGAGCUGAGCUUGGCCCCGGGCCAAGGGCCAGCAAGGAAACAGGACCUCAGUCCCACGACCACAUGGAACUGAAUUCUACCAACAACCUGAAUGAGCCUGGAAGUGACUUCUCCCCCAGAGCCCAACCCUGCCAACACACUGAUUUCAGACUUGAGAGACCUGAAACAGAGAAACCAGCGGAGCCCACCAGACUUCUGACCUACAGGACUGUAAGACUGUGUUGUUUUAAGCUGCUAAGUUUGUGGACCUGUCACCAACUAAUUGCCCCAAGGAAAAUAAGUGUGGGUUUGGAAGCAUUUAACUGUUUUUCCAAAUUGUUUUUUUUCGUUAUGUUAAGGAGAUGCAGUCACCAACCUCCCUGAACCAGACCAAGCCUCGUCAGGGAGCUCCGCCUGUGACCUUUGCCAUAGCCUGCAGUGUAUGUGGAAGCUUGUUUUCCAUCUGAGCCUGCGCAAGCCAAUACCCUCUCCUCCCUUUUGAAUAUUCAUCCCCAUCCGAAAAACGUCCCUGCUUCCUGUUGUUCGGGGACGCCAUGACUCUGGAAAUGAUUCUGCGUGGUCUCCUAUUUGCCGCAAAUGUACUUUCCUUUGUGAGACAACUGCUUCUGGUGGAAAGUCUGAUGUAACUCACCAGGAGGGAACCCACUUUGGUUUUGGUAACAGUGAUUUGUUACAGCAGCCAUAGAAAACUAAUGCAGAGCAAAAGAGUAAAUAGAUGAUGCAGCCCAAUUUGGGCCUUUUUCAUGUCCCUGGGAUAAUGGGACCAAGAUUUCUCAGAAGAGGGUAAUAACAGGGUUUAAAAACAAGGAAUCAAGAGCUCCACAUUGCCUACUCCAGGGCUUCUCAAAUUGUAAAGGCCACACAACCCUCCUGGGAAUGCUGUGAAAAUGAAGGUUCUGAUUCAGUGGGUCUAGAUGGGGGCUGAGAGUCCGCAACUCUAACAAGCUCUCCAGUGAUGCCCGGGCUGCUGGUCCACAAGGACACUCAGAGCAGCAGGGACAGGUGCACGGUCCCUAACGGAAAAGCAAACAAGGCCCUCCACGAUCUCACCUCAGCCACCCUCCAUCCUUCCCUCCAUCUCACUGUCACCAAGCCCUGAAGGACGGAGAUUCAUCUGCCUCGUUUGCAGAUGUGUUCCCAGAGUCUGAAAGAAUAUCUGAAAUGUAACAGGUGCUCUAAAUAUUUGUCGAAUGAAUAAGUUAAUGUUAAUUUUGAACUUCUAAGGAAAAAAAGAAUCGCAGAAGGGGAAAUCAGGGGCCAAGGGAGGCAAUGAGAAGAACAAAAAAAAAGUGUGGCGGGGAGGGGGGUCAGAGAGCAGUAAUUCGAGGAAAGGCACUUCAGCAACUGUUUGAAGUUAAAAAUUGAAGUGACUGGGUAUCAGAUUUCAGCCUGGAGGAAAACUGGGGGCGGCCCCAGAAACAAAUCCAACUUGCCCAGAAAGGUAUAUGUCAGCGCAACUAUAAACAGCUGAUUUUCUGCACUUUGCACGUGCGUGCACAUGCAAGCACAGUGGUUUCCUUUCCUCCACAUUCCACUAAUAUCCUGCUUGUGACCUUGUCCUGCUGAGACGAUAAAGCCAGGAUAAAUUCAGAUUUGUGCUACUCCAAAGCAGCCUCAUCAAUGAGUGCUCUUCCGUAAACUUGGGGCAGGAAGUGAAUGAUGUGUCUGCCUGUCGGGCCAACAUAAAUCUCAGCUGUGUCUGGCAUGAAACGUCUCCCCUUGAAUGGGGUGGGAGGCCACCCCCAGGCCUGGGCGGCUUGCCUCCAGCUGGGCUUGUUUUUGUUUUGGUUGCAAAGUCACCAAGACCUCGGGAGAAACAAAGCAACUGAGGUUUUUGUUUUGUUCUAAAGAGUCAAAUUUGCCAGGGACAUGAAGCUGAAGUCUGCCCACAAUAUUCUUAUGCUUCCCUCACAUACAGCCAAAAGUCCUAGCCAACAGCUCCUCUCCUUCGCUCACAUGAGCUAAUAUUCUGUAGCUCUGUAGCCAUGACUCUGUUUAUAACCUUGGACUUCUAAAACCAGUGAAGAAAAUCAUGCUUGUUCUCAGAAAUGCUUUUCCAUCAAAUACCACUUUUUUGUUUGUUUUUAGGAAGAUAAUUUAGAAAAUGAGGUAAAGAGAACUGCCCUUUCUUUUCUAAUGGGGAACAAACAUCUGGACUUUCCCCACCUCUGAUUUCAGUUUCAUGACAACAUUGAGCGUGUGACCUGGAUCCAUUUCAGGGGAAACUGCAAGAACACAGGGUUUCACCCAAAAAUGAGAAGCCCAUUUAUUUCUCUGUUUUACUGUUUCUCGUGACCACUGAGUGCUCCCAGUCCUGCUGUUAGUGGCUCACUGGACCGAGAAGGUCAGGCCAGGAGGAUUUAGAAAAAUAAGGCCCUUUCUGCACGAGGGCAUGAGUCAUUUUUAAGAAGGUGUCCUGGGGAACCAAGCCUUAAGUUUGUUUUUUUUUUCCAGUCUGACAGCAAUCUUGAAAGACUUUCAAAGUGCCAAGAGAACUGACUUUGAGGGCCCUCUGCAUGACUGCGAGGCCUGGAAGGAGGGAGGUUAAAAGGAAGCUGUGACACAGCUCCUGGCCAGGGCCAGCCAACUGAGUGCCAUUGGGAGUGCAAGGGAAGUCACUGCAAUCUGCUAGUCACAAUUGGCUCAAAGGGCCCCCCCAGGGAGCUGUCAGGAACACUGGGUUGACCCCUCCAGGCCCAUACAGCUAGGUUUCCGAGGCUCACUCCGCCUGGGGCAGGGGGCUCUCUUUUAGCUGUCACUGCCUAGGUUAAACGCACUGCCAGAACCCUUAGCACUUAGGACCCACUGCUUCCUCAAACAUUUCCAUGGAAAAGUGACAGCAGGUUCGUUACUUAGUUACAAGCCCAGUGUCUCCAAUGUGCAGGUCUUCUAACAUGUAUGGUAAGUUCAGCUACAUGAAACCAACCAAACCAUUUCACAUAUUUCCUUUCACAGAUGCUUGAGUCCAGAGGCAGGAGCAAUGGAAAACAGCAGAAGGGCUGGGAGUGUUUUGGCCGGUCUGGAACUGUCAAGAUAAAAUCUCUCUAAACCCCGACUAUCCAACUGGUAGUAGCUUGUUUUUCUUACAAAAUUAGUCUUGCCUGGCAGCAGGUCAGUGGAGGAUACUCUGGAAUAGGGCAGUCAGACCCUACUAGUCAUUAUUUUCCUUUCAGUGAAAUCAAGACAUCCAUCAUGCUUUUCACCCAGGUUUUUCUCAGGGUGAGUUUCAAGAUCUCCCAAACUAUUAUACUCUAAGUUAGCUUCCAGGUGUACAACUCCUGAACCCCUGUUUUCUAAGGUCCUUAAUCAAAGCUAGAGUCAAAUAGCAACUUUUCAAAAAGAACUCAUUGAAACCACAAGUUCCCAACUGGCCCAAUGGCCAAUGCUAAUGUAGUCUAAAGGUCUUCUGGAGCACCAUUGAAGUGGGCAGCAAAUCCCCAAUGAAGCUCAUUGAAAGCUCUGCCCAAAAUCUCCAGGACUUUCAGAGGUCAUGACUUUGUGUCCUUUAAGGGGCAUCAACACCAAGAAGGCCUGAUAAGGCUGCGGCCACCUUCAAAGAGAGAGAAAUGAGAAUAAGCCGUCGCAGCACCACAUUUUGUGAGACUUGAUAAAUCUGAUUCGGUAGAUGGAAUUAUUUAGAAGAUCCUAUGGAAUCUGAAAUAUGUAGACUGGAUUUAGGAUUAAGUGCAAUGCUGAGUGCAAUUCAAAGCUGACUGGAAGGAAAACUAAUACCUGACAGUUUCAUGGACACACACGCAGGUGGUCGGUAAAGCUUCCUAUCUCACUGUUGCAUCUCUCACUCCCCCACCUACCCAUCAAAUGCCUAUCGAGCCCCCGUGGGCCAGGCACUGUGCUCAGCACUGGGUACUCAAUGCUCAACAAAAUAGUUCUUGACUCCCAAGGCCAGAUAAUCACAUUCUGGAAACAAAUUUCUGCUUCUUUCAUAACUAUCCUGCCCAGAAAAUGUCAGCCUGGGGAAGGAGAAAAGCCUAGAGACAAAAUCAUCCCAUCAACCCCAGAACAGCUUUAAAACAUGUCUGCCAUCUUGUCAAAACAUGUUGACACUCUUCUCACCCAGAGCUUAUGGUCUCUAUCCCCUCCUGUUGAAUCUGGGCUGGCCCAAGCAACUCACUGCAACCAAUAGAAAGCCAGAGAAGUGAUGCUGUGAGACUUCCAAGGUUAGGUCAGAAAGGCGACGUAGCUUCCACCUUGCUUGCUGGGACACUGGCUUUUGGAACCGUGAGCCAUCACGUAAGAAGUCCAGCACCCCGAGGCCAUGUGGAGAAGCCCUGUGUAGGCAUUCCAGCCGUAAGUUCUAGUCUUUGAGCCCUCCCAGCCCAGGUGCCAGACCCAUGAGCGAACGAGCCUUUGGAUGAUUUCAGCCCCCAACCUCCAGUUACCCCCAGCCUUCUUCAUGGAGCACAGGCAAGCCAUCCCUACUAUGCCCUUUCCAAAUUCCUGACCUAGAGAACCCAUGAGUACAAGAAAUCGUUGCUUACUUUCCCAUGUUUGGGGAGCUUGUUAUCCAGCAUAGUAACUGGAGCAGGUGGCAAAACCAAAGGCCAGCACAUUCCUCUCCCCAACACAGUCUCCAUCAGGAUUCUCUGCAGCAGCAGGAACUUUUCACUGCUGUCACACUAGAUGCUGCCAUAGGGAUCUUCCACUUGCUGCCUCUAACAGCGUCCCUCCCCGGCACUCUGCUCCAGGAGGUCACUGUCCACACCACCCUGCCUGAGCCUUAACUGUCAGCCUUGCUGUGAUCUUCAGCCCCUCACUGGCUGAGGGCUGCUGCUCUGCCAUUGCUGGGCUAGAGGGGAACUCAGAGAGCUGUAGAGGGUCCCAGGCCCUGGGGGAACAGGAAGGCCUGCAAUCACCCCAUGUCCCUCCUCUCUUCCUCAGAUUCCCUGGGUUAGAGAGUUGGCUCACAUCCCUCUCUUUCUGCUGCCUGGACACCACAGAGAGACUCAGAACCAGUUACAAUGAGCCAAUCACCAAUGUACCCAAUAUAUCCACUCCUGGAAGGUAGGGAGCCAGGGACCUAGCUUAAAUACUCUUUCUGGCUGGCCCACCCCCUUAACAUGUCGUUUAAGAACAGAGACUCUGAGGUCAAAUCCUGGCUCCACCACUUUCUAAUUCUCGGACCUUAGAUGACUAACUUAAACUCUCACUCCAGCUUCCAGUCUGUAAAAUGGGGAUAACAGUACCUACCUCAUAAGGUUGUUGUCAAGAUCACAAUGAGGGAAUCCAUGUAAAGUGCCUGGCAUGUAGUAAUUGCUCGAUAAAUUUCAGCUAUUUUUGACAAUGUCUUCCCUAGGAAGAAGCAUCU